CCUACGGGGGGCUGCAGUGAGGAAUAUUGGUCAAUGGCCGGAAGGCUGAACCAGCCAUGCCGCGUGAAGGUCAGUGCCCUAUGGGCGUUAAACUUCUUUUGUGCGGGAGCAAUAAUGGUCACGUGUCGCCAGACGAGAGUACCGUACGAAUAAGCAUCGGCUAACUCCGUGCCAGCAGCCGCGGUAAUAAGGGGGAUGCAAGCGUUAUCCGGAUUGAUUGGGUUUGAAGGGUGCGGAGGCUGGGAGGUAAGUCAGCGGUGAAAUGCCCCCGGUCAACGGGGUGAAGUGCCAUUGAUACUGGCUUGCUGGAAUGCGGAUGCGGUGGGAGGAAUGUGAGGUGUAGCGGUGAAAUGCGUAGAUAU
rnacentral:rRNA from 1 species